GGCGAACGGUGAGUAAUCGCAGUCGGAACGUGCCCUGAAGUGGGGGAUAACGUAGCGAAAGUUACGCUAAUACCGCAUAUUCUGUGAGCAGGAAAGCAGGGGAUCUUCGGACCUUGCGCUUUUGGAGCGGCCGAUGUCGGAUUAGCUAGUUGGUGGGUAAAGGCUCACCAAGGCAACGAUCCGUAGCGGGUCUGAGAGGAUGAUCCGCCACACUGGAACUGAGACACGGUCCAGACUCCUACGGGAGGCAGCAGUGGGGAAUUUUGGACAAUGGGCGCAAGCCUGAUCCAGCCAUGCCGCGUGAGUGAAGAAGGCUUUCGGGUUGUAAAGCUCUUUCGGUUGGGAAGAAAUUUGCUUGGGUUAAUACCCUGUGUGGAUGACGGUACCGGAAUAAGAAGCACCGGCUAACUACGUG
rnacentral:rRNA from 1 species